rnacentral:tRNA from 1 species
GGAGGCGUCGCAUAGAGGCCCAGUGCGAGGGUUUGCUAAACCCUUGAGUCUAAAAGACUCACGUGGGUUCGAAUCCCACCGCCUCCGCCU